rnacentral:rRNA from 1 species
UACGUAGGGUGCAAGCGUUGUCCGGAAUUAUUGGGCGUAAAGAGCUUGUAGGCGGUUUGUCGCGUCUGCUGUGAAAUUUCGGGGCUCAACCCCGAACUUGCAGUGGGUACGGGCAAGCUAGAAUUCGGUAGGGGAGACUGGAAUUCCUGGUGUAGCGGUGAAAUGCGCAGAUAUCAGGAGGAACACCGGUGGCGAAGGCGGGUCUCUGGGCCGAAAUUGACGCUGAGGAGCGAAAGCGUGGGGAGCAAACAGG